rnacentral:misc_RNA from 1 species
GACAGUUGAAAUCAGUGGAACUGCUUCCCAAGUUCAAACAGCUCAGCAGCUGAUACAGGCAAUAUGGCUUACCAUGUCUUUUAUAUACUGACCUUGUUGUCUUUCUUUACUAGAUAUCCUUGUUGCAUAUCUUUUUGUUCAAACUGCUAUUUUGUGAUUGCUGGCAUGUGACCUUCAAUUUCACUAUUCCGAGUUUUCCUGCUUUUUGUGUUAAGUUUCAAAAUUGACAUUGGGUUAGGAUUCUAACUAUCAAACACAGAUGCUACUAUAGGUUGGAUGGCUACAGUAGUGCAGUAGGACCUUUAAAUUAUUGGUUGGAUGGCUGUGGAGUGUUUUAGGAAAGUUGGAAUUUGAAGUCUAUACUUUUAUCUAUAUACUUUGAAUGAUGAAAGAAAGGAACUAUCUAGAGUGUAAAUGAAGAUAUACCAACUAGUUUAACGUAGUUGAAAUAUCUAAAAUUGGGUGAGAGGAGUUAACUUGUUUUGGGGGCAAAAAAAGAAACCAUUUGAUAACUUCUUAUACAGGGGUAUCUUAGAUGGUGGACAUGUCGACAGGCUUUUGGGGACGUAGAGAACUAUCAAAGGGUGAUAUGGGUACUGCUUCGGUCAAUAUGACUACUUUGGGAUCUCCUACGAUUGGUCGGGUCUUCCUACGACUGCUUAGUCUACAAGAAAACAGAGAGUUAAAGUGCGAAAAGUGUUCUCCCACUGGGCAUUACGAUGUUUAAGUUAGGAUUGGGUUAAGAGAAGGGAAAAGCAAGUAAACUUAGAGAGUAAAUGCAGAGAGGAUAAGGGCUCUAAGAAUGUCAAUACCUGUGGUAGUUAAUGCUUAUUUACCUUUUCUCAUCCAAGAGGAUAGUACUCUGUGUGAUAUCUUGUACAACUGGUCCUAUAAUGAUGAUAUUUGACUUCUGAAAUGUCAUAAAACAUGUGUAGGUUACUGAGAGUCUGAAAUGUGUAGGUUACAUACAACUAUGUUUUUAUAGACCUAUGACACAUUAAUGGUGGCAGUCAACCCAUGUUGAUUUAGCUGGCCAAACAUCUUAUCAUAUGAAGCGAGAGUAGGGUCCCUAUAAGAUUAAUGAGACAUCCUUGGGGCAUUAAAUGAGCCGUUUCCUUACUUGAGAAGCCUUGUCUACUUGCUCCUUAAUAUAGGACGACCUCUCAACAGGAGUUGUCAGACGACGGCUUCCGUCUUGUGAUGACUGCUGUAUCAGAUAGUGACCUAGACCCUAGCUAUAGGGUAUUAGGGUUGGUUUCGUGUAGUUGUAUAUCCACAGUUCAGAGUACUCAUAUAGGACUAUACAAGCUCUCCUAUUUUAUGACCUCUCGCGUUACAUGUUUCACCCAUCGAAGAGGUCAGUUCAUUUGUUUUGUAUCACCAUCGGACAACUUUGUUUUGCUCUUUUGCACAUGAAUGUGUAAUAAUGAUUAGGUCUUUGAUGGUUUGAGCUGAUGUGAAGAUUUUGUAGGUCACUGAUUGAACUUGUGUCAGUUUCAUGAAGCUGCGCAUGAUGUAUUCUGAUGUGAUCUAGUGUUGUUUGAAUUUCUAGCUUUAUGUGCAUGUGCAAUCGUGCAUGUGGAUUUACACAAAUGUAAGCACAUGUGAAAAGGGUAUUCUAGUGCACAUGGUUUCCACAUUUCGGGCUCUGGAAAGGUUAGAUAGAUCUGUUGCAUGGAGACUGUUUCUGUGGUGUAAAUUUGAACGAGUCACCAUUAAGCGAUUACAGAUUGCACAAAUGUUUGGCUAUGUGAUAAUAUAAUUUAGAAAAAUUUUCGCCCUGUAAUUUAAUAUGGUUGUUCGAGUCUAACCAUCAAAGCCAUUAGUAUAUAGAAAGUGACAUGAAAUACUGUUGCUCAACCAUCUCUAUCUAUGAAUAAAAUUCAGGCCUACUGAUGCUUGGAUUCCGGAUUGUUUUCAGUAUUCUCAUGUACAAGCGCCUGGUUGCAUUUUAUGUGUUCUGAGCUUCUGAUGAUACUUUGUGUUGCAGAAUUUCAUGGCAGAAGCUGCAGCACCAACACAAACACAAACAGGUGGGUCUACAGACCAAGGAUAUAAUCCUUAU